UACGUAGGUGGCAAGCGUUGUCCGGAUUCACUGGGCGUAAAGCGCGCGCAGGCGGUCUUCUACGUCUGGGGUGAAAACCCGGGGCUCGACCCCGGGACUGCCUUGGAUACGGGAAGACUUGAGGAUCGGAGAGGCAAGGGGAAUUCCACGUGUAGCGGUGAAAUGCGUAGAGAUGUGGAGGAACACCUGUGGCGAAGGCGCCUUGCUGGCCGAUUUCUGACGCUGAGGCGCGAAAGCGUGGGGAGCAAACAGG
rnacentral:rRNA from 1 species